GAAUCUAUGGUGCAAAUGAGGUGAGGAGGAGCUGGCAGCCGAGACCAAGCUUGGUAGAGGUGGAGAGAAUUAAGUGGGGAAAGUGAGUGUGGUAGGUGGCUGUCAAAAAUAUCUAGCUGCUCUCAGGUUACCAAUGGAACACCUCCUAAGAAUGCGCCAUUGGUAACCAGGGUUACUAAUGGCGCACCUGGUGUGUGGUGCGCCAUUACUAGUUUUGAAAAAAA
rnacentral:lncRNA from 1 species